rfam:Ornithorhynchus anatinus chromosome 3, whole genome shotgun sequence.
CCCCUCUCAAGGUCACAUUUGGAGAGUUUCCAGUACUCUUCCAGUCUUGACUAUGAGAGAGUGAGCCAAGCAGAGGCCUACCCAUUCCAUUCCUAGCUUGGGCAGUGGCUAGCGAGUGGAAGGCAAUCUGCUACUAGU